ACAGGAAGAAAUGAAGAACAGAUCCUGAGAAGGAGAGAAGAGGAAUCGAUUGGGGAAAGGUAUGUUCGGCAUGACAGUGCCGAUUUAAGGGUUUAAAGUGGCACUGUCAUGCCGAACUUACCUUUUCCCAAUCCAUUCCUUUUCUCUCCCUCUGUCAGGAUCUGUUCUACAUUUCUUCCUGUU